rnacentral:rRNA from 1 species
GCAGUAGCCGCGGUAAUACGUAGGUGGCAAGCGUUGUCCGGAAUUAUUGGGCGUAAAGGGCUCGCAGGCGGUUUCUUAAGUCUGAUGUGAAAGCCCCCGGCUCAACCGGGGAGGGUCAUUGGAAACUGGGAAACUUGAGUGCAGAAGAGGAGAGUGGAAUUCCACGUGUAGCGGUGAAAUGCGUAGAGAUGUGGAGGAACACCAGUGGCGAAGGCGACUCUCUGGUCUGUAACUGACGCUGAGGAGCGAAAGCGUGGGGAGCGAACAGGAUUAGAUACCCGGGUAGUCCCUGUCUCUUAUAC